AAGAUGAUACUCUUAGGGAUCAUUUCUAUAGUAGUUGCCUAGAGAAAUGGGUUCUUGAGUGUCCGGUCUCACAAGCCACGAGGAGGAUUGAGAGUGUUUUCUUCUGAGCAUGAAGUUGGUCUGGAGUGUUGCUUUGUGCAGCUGCUCUUGACCUUUGAUGAUUGUUCUUACUCUUCUUAUGGGGAGUUAGAGGAAGAGAAUGCAUUCUGAGUGGU